rnacentral:rRNA from 1 species
GAGUUUGAUUGUGGCUCAGAUUGAACGCUGGCGGCAUGCCUUACACAUGCAAGUCGAACGGCAGCAUGAUCUAGCUUGCUAGAUUGAUGGCGAGUGGCGAACGGGUGAGUAAUACAUCGGAACGUGCCCUGUAGUGGGGAGUAACUAGUCGAAAGAUUAGCUAAUACCGCCAUACGACCUGAGGGUGGAAAGUAGGGGGACCGGCAAGGCCCCACUGCUAUAGGAGCGGCCGAUGUCUGAUUAGCUAGUUGGUGGGGUAAAGGCCCACCAAGGCGACGAUCAGUAGCUGGUCUGAGAGGACGAUCAGCCACACUGGGACGUGAGACACGGCCCAGACUCCUACGGGAGGCAGCAGUGGGGAAUUUUGGACAAUGGGCGAAAGCCUGAUCCAGCAAUGCCGCGUGUGUG